UGGGAAUUUUGGACAAUGGGCGCAAGCCUGAUCCAGCCAUGCCGCGUGCGGGAAGAAGGCCUUCGGGUUGUAAACCGCUUUUGUCAGGGAAGAAAUCUUCUGAGUUAAUACCUCGGGAGGAUGACGGUACCUGAAGAAUAAGCACCGGCUAACUACGUGCCAGCAGCCGCGGUAAUACGUAGGGUGCAAGCGUUAAUCGGAAUUACUGGGCGUAAAGCGUGCGCAGGCGGUUUUGUAAGACAGAGGUGAAAUCCCCGGGCUCAACCUGGGAACUGCCUUUGUGACUGCAAGGCUUGAGUGCGGCAGAGGGGGAUGGAAUUCCGCGUGUAGCAGUGAAAUGCGUAGAUAUGCGGAGGAACACCGAUGGCGAAGGCAAUCCCCUGGGCCUGCACUGACGCUCAUGCACGAAAGCGUGGGGAGCAAACAGGAUUAGAUACCCUGGUAGUCCACGCCCUAAACGAUGUCAACUGGUUGUUGGGAAGGUUCCUUCUCAGUAACGUAGCUAACGCGUGAAGUUGACCGCCUGGGGAGUACGGCCGCAA
rnacentral:rRNA from 1 species